rnacentral:rRNA from 1 species
GACGAACGCUGGCGGCGUGCUUAACACAUGCAAGUCGAACGGAAAGGCCCUGCUUUUGUGGGGUGCUCGAGUGGCGAACGGGUGAGUAACACGUGAGUAACCUGCCCUUGACUUUGGGAUAACUUCAGGAAACUGGGGCUAAUACCGGAUAGGAGCUCCUGCUGCAUGGUGGGGGUUGGAACGUUUCGGCGGUUGGGGAUGGACUCGCGGCUUAUCAGCUUGUUGGUGGGGUAGUGGCUUACCAAGGCUUUGACGGGUAGCCGGCCUGAGAGGGUGACCAGCGACAUUGGGACUGAGAGACGGCCCAGACUCCUACGGGAGGCAGCAGUGGGGAAUAUUGCACAAUGGGCGGAAGCCUGAUGCAGCAACGCCGCGUGCGGGAUGACGGCCUUCGGGUUGAAAAACGCUUUCGCCUGUGACGAAGCGUGAGUGACGGUAAUGGGUAAAGAAGCACCGGCUAACUACGUG